CGCAUGUUUACUAGAACUACUCAUUUUAUUGCAUGUUUGAAACAUGUCUUCCAAAGCAGAAAUAGUAGAUCAAUUGAAGGCAGCAGUAACUAACGGUAGGACGGACAUACUGCGGUCUAUCAUAUCAGCAGUAGAGAAAGAUAAAGAUUUAUACAGUCCAACAUUGUUAAGAGAUAUUUUGAAUGAAGUAUGUUGCGAGGAGGGAACACUUCUUCAUUUAUCUUCAAAGCUAGGAAAUGUAGAUAUGGUACGAACAUUACUGUCAGCAAAUGCUGAUCCAGGAAUCCAUAAUGAUGCAGGAAAAACUGCGUAUGACUUGGUUGAUGAUGAAAAUGUUCGUAUGGUUUUUAGUGAGGAACUUCUUCAAGCGACAGCACAGUCAAAAUUAGGGCGUGUCUGUCAGCUGUUUGCUUCGGGGGUGGAUGUGAACCUGAUUGACAGUGAAGAGAGUCAAAACACCCCGCUCCACUGGGCCGCUUCGUUUGGAAACAGAGCUGUUAUACAGUGCCUUUGUACUCGUGGUGCUGAUGUGAGAGCUGUGAAUGCUAACGGAUGUACUCCACUCCAUGAUGCUGUCAAGAGAGGGGAUGCUCAAGCUGUUACAGAGCUGUUAAUGCAUAACUCAGACCCCAUGGCCAAGGUCACAUGUGGGAAAGAUGAGGGUAAGACAGCUGUAGAUCUAGCAUCUGGAAAACCUCAGGUUCUAAAGGUGUUGAAUAAUCCACCCAAAGCUCUACAUGAAACUGACAAUGCAACAGGAGCUCAAUCAGGACUUCAGAAGUUGACCAUCAGGGCAGAUAGUACAUCUGAUACUUCCCUCCACUCUCCGCUGCCAAAUGGAGAUGUAAAUGGCCCUCUGUCACCCACACCUCAGCUCAAAACACCAACAUUUUCAAACAAGAUGUCAUUGGAUUCCACAUUGCAGCCUCCUAAACCAGUGGUCACAGAAGAGAAGUUAGGGUUACUUUGGCCGCAACCCCAAAGCAUCAUACAGAGAGAUGGAAAACCAUUUACAUUAGAUAAUCAGCUUCCAGUGUAUGUUUCAACAGGUCCCAAGGAGAGUUCCAAAGAAGUGUUAAGGAUAUGGCAGAUCCGAAAGUCCACUUUUGAGAUGCUUAGUCUUAAUAUGACAGUAGACAUUUUUACUCAGCUUUCUAAUUUCUCUGUACCCCACAUUCUAUGUUGUGUCAACAACCAAGUCUGUCCAGGCUGUGCAUUGUACAAACUGUCCAUCUCAUCAAGUCAGAUCAAGAUAGUAUGUAGCGAUAUACUCAGUCUGCACUAUGCAAUAGCAACAGUCUUUCAAUUAUUUUCACUGUACAAGGAUGAGAAAAUCCAUAUACCGCCAUUGCUGAUCGACGAUUGGCCAGACAUUCAUUACAGAGGAAUUCUACUGGAUAUUUCCCAGGGGAGAUUACUCAUGAAGGAUUCACUUAAAAGUGUUAUAGACACAUUAUCUCUGAAUAAGAUUAACAUGAUUCAAAUAUACUGUAGGUUUACAAAGAAAGACGAGCCUGGGUGGCAGGCACCUUACUCCAAAAGCUCUCUGUGUGACUUAGAUAACUACUGUAGUGACCGAGGCAUUCAGAUGGUGCCAGUCUUAGAUGUGAUGCCACAGAUCCAGUAUGAAGACCUGGAUGAUCUUUAUCCCACAUUGCAGGAUUUCAUAUCUAUCUUCCAGAAUGCUCAAUUUGUCAGUCUGGGUCCGAGACUGAGUAGCUUCGUCUUGGAUACAGAUGAUGGUAACCUGGAUAUCAGUGAUUCCAUGAAGCUGCUCCCGCUCCACGGAGAUAAAACCAUCCAGAUCUGUGGCUAUCCUCUCCAUGGACUGGAUACCAAAUUGUUGUUUGACAUUCCGCCUAACGUACUUAUCAAUGAAUAUGGGAUAGAGGCAGACUAUGAAUUUAGAAGAUUUUGCACUCCUUUAUCAGAGAAAGGUGUGGGUUUCUUCCUUUGUCCUGGAACAUCUGCAUGGAACAGUAUUGCAGGAUGUCCUGAGGCAGCUAUAAAAAAUAUUUACAAUGCUGUGAAAUGUGGGGUGACUCACGGCUGUACUGGGAUAGUGGUCUGUGAUUGGUCAGGAAAAGGACACCUAAACAGUCACACAUUCUCCUGGCCAGCAUACAUGUUAACUGUUGGAUUAUCUUGGAAUUCAAAUUGUCACCAGGACUUUCUGUUUUCCAACCUGGGGGAGCUGAUGAACCAGCAUGUGUUUUGUGAUAAAAAAUCCAUAGCUGGCCAUGUUGUAGUAGAACUUGGCAGGGCAGAGACUUACCUAAUCCGAUGCGCCAGGGCACAGGCAGCUGGGGAUAUUCAGAGGUUGCCUGAUGCUUUGGGGUCCACACUCUUUAAAUUUCUUAUGGCCCCUGACACAGUAUCUAUAGAGCACCUGUCUAUAGAGGCCGUACAGCGUACAGUCCGCCAUAUCAGAAAGUGUCAACAGGAGUUGAGCAAUGCGGACCCCCAGUGUCAGGAGAGAGGGGAGCUGAUGUCAGAAUUAAACCUGGCAUGUGAAUUCAUGCUACUGGCCACCAGAAUAUGCCGCUCCCUCCUUAUAACGGGGAAGAAUCCGAGUGGAAGUUCGGGUUAUGCUGCCAUUAAUCUUGGCAUUAACAACCUAACAGCAACUGUAAAGACUGACAUAGCAAACAGGUAGGUGGGGUGCUGUUUGUGCGCAAAUAAAUGUCCAUGCAUUGGUGACUUAGGGAAACCAAUGUAUAAUAGACAUCCAUUUGAUUUAUUAAGAUUUUUGCAAAAAACUAUGACAUCACAUGAGGAUCGAUCAACCUUAAGCUGGACUCUGUCUUUUCAACCAAGGGGAUCAGGCUAAUUACAACCAAACUUGCCACAAAGCAUGCUUUGGUAAUGAGGAUUCAAGUAUGUUUAAAUGAAGAACCACAUCUUUUUUCGAGGGAAGAUAAUUAUAAGAUUUAGCGAUAGUUUUGUGGCAUCUUUUAAAAUUCUUCUCCAGACCAUUAGGCCAAUGUCACUCAAACUUAAAACAAAUUAUUCUUGGGUAAAGGGGAUUGAAGAUUAUUCAAGUGAAGGGUCAUGCUCCCUUCAAAGGAGGAUAAUCAUGAAAAGACAAAAAUAGGGUGGGGUCAUUUAAAAAUAUUUUCAUAAAACACUGGGCCAGAAAAGAUAUAUAGAUAAUAUAUUUAAAAAAUCUUCUCGAGCACUGCAGGGACAUGAUUAGUCAUAUUAAUAUGCAAGCAUCCCCAGAUAAUGCAGAUUCUAAUCUAUUCAAAGUGUUGGUAGGUUGGAGCCACGAUAGGGAUCAAAGUGUUACGUAAGAAUUUGUAGGAAAGGAUCUUUAAAAAUCUUCAUCUCAACGACAGUAAAGCCAUGAUUAGUCAUAUUAAUGUGCAAAUUAACAUCUACAGGUAGUUUAAAUUUAAGUUUGUUCAAUUCAAGGGCUACAAUAAAAGAUAAAAGUUUUUUUAUACAGGGAAUUAAUUAAAACUAACUCUUUUCAAGAGUAGCAGGACUACACUAAUCAUAUCCAAAUGCAAAUAUUCCAAAGUUGUUUGGGUCUAAGGUUCUUGAUAUGUCCCCGCAACUACAUGUAUAGUUGGGGUGCAUAUUGUUUUUGUCCGGUCUGUCUGAAUGGUGAGUGAUAGGCUCUCAUAUUUCCAUUCCUGGUGACAAAACCUUUCCAUGGCGCCAAAGUUUUUAACAUUGUGACCACCAAACAUGGUGAGUUAAUGCAUCUUGGGUUGAAGGUGUGUUGUGACCCAAAAGUUGGUCAACAUGGCAUUGCAAAUGACAGUGUCACAACUUGUGGCUUCAAACAUGCAAUCAUAGAUAUGUAUCAUGUACCCAAUCAAUGCACUUUAUUUAAAAGGAAAUGGUUUAGUUGGAUGUUAAUCCUUAAUUUGAUUACUACUGCAUCACUGAACACAUUAGAUGGACAUGUUUUGUUGUGUGAGUGUAGGUUGCUUCUGUUUAACUGGAACUUGGUAUUUUAACUGAUCAUUUGAUGCCAUUAACUGAUUAAUGAUUUUGAAACCAGAAAUGUCCUGAUUGCUUUAAAAUGAAGCAUCUGUGCAGAGAUUGUGGAUAAAUUUACGCAUGGGUGACAUUUACAGUAUGAUGUGCAUGUCUGAAUUAACUUUCAAAUGUAUAUCGUGUAAGAAUGAUUUUUGAAAUAUAGAUAUGUUUAGAUUAGCCGCAGUAUCUAGCAAAAGUGUAGCUAUGUUAGGGCAACCAUUUACUCGUUUCUCUGGUUCGUCAACAAUUACAAGUGUCAAAAUUCCAGACUAGUUGUAGAAUCUUUUUCUCGAUAUGUAUGUAGAUGUUCACAUCUUCAAAGCCUUCUGUGCAUUGCUCACGACAACAGAGAGAUGAUGGAAGUUGGAGAUGUAAUUCACAACUCCUUGUUUUCCUUUCAUGUUUAAAUCACUGGAUUUGUAUGAAGAUGUACUAAAUCAAGCUGUAUUUUUUUGCAGGAUUUUAGAAUUAAUGGAACCACAUAAGGCAGCUUGGAACAGCCAUUACCUGUCCUCUAUCGGUCUUCAGGAAUCCCUCGGGGUGUUUCAAAAUUUACUGAGGUCUCUCCUGCCCAAUCAAGACACAACACAGCUGAUGAAUCGGGGACAGAUACAAACUGUUUAAUGUAUUUACUCACCACCCCUGUGUGAAUAGACUUGAACUGCACAGUGCAUAAUUUUUUGUCAUUUUCAUGCAUACUAAUUCACCUAUUUUAAAAAACCGACACACUCUUCAUUAUCAUACAUUGUGAUUUGUAGCAUGUGAUAUUUUUUCAAAUGUCAUACAAAGUAUGAUUAAGGAAUAUACAUGAUCAAUGAAUACAUGGAUAUAUGAGUAUGCUAUUCAGUCACUCAUGUACAAUGUAGGAUGUCGAUGUGAAAAUUUUAUUUGAUUUAUUCAGAUAUGAUACUACUACCGUGUUAAUGCGAGUACUGUAUGCAUGAGGCUGUCAAGUGUGAUACUAUUACAUGGAAACCAACAGUGGGGACUGCUUUUUGUAUUUUGUUUUAAAAUUUAUCUUUUUGUGGAAAAUAUCUUUUAUUACAUGGUUUAAAAGUUUUAUAUUUGAUAGCUUGAAUUGAAACUUCUAAAUGGUUUUUCUUCUUCUUCCAACUGUGUUAUUUAGCAUAACCAAGCUUUAAUCUUACAUGUAUUUGUUUACAUAGUAAAAUAAUUGUUAUUGUGAAAUUUGAUUAAGGUGUAUUAAUGUAUUUUAAAAAUCAAUCUUGGUUGCAUUUGUUCUGGUAUAUUUUGUUAACUUGUGAUAAUAAAGAAAACUAUUUGGUGCAGCAUUGUUUAUUAAGAUCUGAUACAUGUAUGUAUUUUUAGAUUGGUUUUGUAUUUGUAUAAAAAUGUUCUGACAUGGUGAUAUUUAUGUUUACAGGUCAUGUAUAUCUUAACUAACCUUGUAUAAAUAAAUUGGGACAAUUCUAUAUAAAA